rnacentral:rRNA from 1 species
UCCGGUGGCUUUAGCGGAGGGGCCACACCUCUUCCCAUUCCGAACAGAGCAGUUAAGCCCUCCUGCGCCGAUGGUACUGCCGGGGUCACCCGGUGGGAGAGUAGGACGCUGCCGGGA